rnacentral:tRNA from 1 species
GGGGAUAUGGCUCAAUAAUGGAGCUCUUGCCUGGCAUGCAUAAGGCUCUGGGUUCAAUUCCCAGCACCA